rnacentral:rRNA from 1 species
UGAGCAACCUACCCUCAACUUCGGGGUAAGCCUCGGAAACGGGGUCUAAUACCGGAUAUCACUUCAUUCCUCAUGGUUUGGGGUUGAAAGUUCUGGCGGUUGGGGAUGGGCUCGCGGCCUAUCAGCUAGUUGGUGUGGGUAAUGGCCCACCAAGGCGACGACGGGUAGCCGGCCUGAGAGGGUGACCGGCCACACUGGGACUGAGACACGGCCCAGACUCCUACGGGAG